rnacentral:rRNA from 1 species
CUCCAACGAGCGCAACCCUGAUCUAGCCAUGCCGCGUGAGUGAUGAAGGCCUUAGGGUUGUAAAGCUCUUUCAGCUGUGAAGAUAAUGACGGUAGCAGCAGAAGAAGUCCCGGCUAACUCCGUGCCAGCAGCCGCGGUAAUACGGAGGGGACUAGCGUUGUUCGGAAUUACUGGGCGUAAAGCGCACGUAGGCGGAUCGGAAAGUUGGGGGUGAAAUCCCGGGGCUCAACCCCGGAACUGCCUUCAAAACUAUCGGUCUGGAGUUCGAGAGAGGUGAGUGGAAUUCCGAGUGUAGAGGUGAAAUUCGUAGAUAUUCGGAGGAACACCAGUGGCGAAGGCGGCUCACUGGCUCGAUACUGACGCUGAGGUGCGAAAGCGUGGGGAGCAAACAGGAUUAGAA